AGACUUGCAUUGCCCACAAAGACUUUCAGAGACCUAUAGACUUAUAUUUAUUUGGUUCUAUGUUUUCUAGAUAAAUAUAAGUCUAUAGGUCUCUGAAAGUCUUUGUGGGCAAUGCAAGUCU